rnacentral:rRNA from 1 species
AGAUUGAACGCUGGCGGCAGGCCUAACACAUGCAAGUCGAGCGGCAGCACGGGUACUUGUACCUGGUGGCGAGCGGCGGACGGGUGAGUAAUGCCUAGGAAUCUGCCUGGUAGUGGGGGAUAACGCUCGGAAACGGACGCUAAUACCGCAUACGUCCUACGGGAGAAAGCAGGGGACCUUCGGGCCUUGCGCUAUCAGAUGAGCCUAGGUCGGAUUAGCUAGUUGGUGAGGUAAUGGCUCACCAAGGCGACGAUCCGUAACUGGUCUGAGAGGAUGAUCAGUCACACUGGAACUGAGACACGGUCCAGACUCCUACGGGAGGCAGCA